CCAGUAGUGGGGGAUAGCCCGGCGAAAGCCGGAUUAAUACCGCAUACGACCUGAGGGUGAAAGCGGGGGAUCGCAAGACCUCGCGCUACUGGAGCGGCCGAUGUCAGAUUAGCUAGUUGGUGGGGUAAAGGCCUACCAAGGCAACGAUCUGUAGUUGGUCUGAGAGGACGACCAGCCACACUGGGACUGAGACACGGCCCAGACUCCUACGGGAGGCAGCAGUGGGGAAUUUUGGACAAUGGGCGCAAGCCUGAUCCAGCAAUGCCGCGUGCAGGAAGAAGGCCUUCGGGUUGUAAACUGCUUUUGUCAGGGAAGAAAUCUUCUGGGCUAAUACCCCGGGAGGAUGACGGUACCUGAAGAAUAAGCACCGGCUAACUACGUGCCAGCAGCCGCGGUAAUACGUAGGGUGCGAGCGUUAAUCGGAAUUACUGGGCGUAAAGCGUGCGCAGGCGGCUUUGCAAGACAGAGGUGAAAUCCCCGGGCUCAACCUGGGAACUGCCUUUGUGACUGCAAGGCUAGAGUACGGCAGAGGGGGAUGGAAUUCCGCGUGUAGCAGUGAAGUGCGCAGAUAUGCGGAGGAACACCGAUGGCGAAGGCAAUCCCCUGGGCCUGUUCUGACGCUCAUGCACGAAAGCGUGGGGAGCAAACAGGAUUAGGUACCCUGGUAGUCCACGCCCUAAACGAUGUCAACUGGUUGUUGGACGGCUUGCUGUUCAGUAACGAAGCUAACGCGUGAAGUUGACCGCCUGGGGAGUACGGCCGCAAGGUUGAAACUCAAAGGGAUUGACGGGGACCCGCACAAGCGGUGGAUGAUGUGGUUUAAUUCGAUGCAACGCGAAAAACCUUACCUACCCUUGACAUGUCAAGAAUCCUGCAGAGAUGUGGAAGUGCUCGAAAGAGAACUUGAACACAGGUGCUGCAUGGCCGUCGUCAGCUCGUGUCGUGAGAUGUUGGGUUAAGUCCCGCAACGAGCGCAACCCUUGUCAUUAGUUGCUACGAAAGGGCACUCUAAUGAGACUGCCGGUGACAAACCGGAGGAAGGUGGGGAUGACGUCAGGUCCUCAUGGCCCUUAUGGGUAGGGCUACACACGUCAUACAAUGGCCGGUACAGAGGGCUGCCAACCCGCGAGGGGGAGCCAAUCCCAGAAAACCGGUCGUAGUCCGGAUCGCAGGCUGCAACUCGACUGCGUGAAGUCGGAAUCGCUAGUAAUCGCGGAUCAGCUUGCCGCGGUGAAUACGUUCCCGGGUCUU
rnacentral:rRNA from 1 species